rnacentral:rRNA from 1 species
GACGAACGCUGGCGGCGUGCUUAACACAUGCAAGUCGAACGAUGAAGCCGGAGCUUGCUCUGGUGAAUUAGUGGCGAACGGGUGAGUAACACGUGAGUAACCUGCCCUUGACUCUGGGAUAACUGCUAGAAAUGGUAGCUAAUACCGGAUACGACCCUCGGAGGCAUCUUCAGGGGGUGGAAAGAAUUUCGGUCGAGGAUGGACUCGCGGCCUAUCAGCUAGUUGGUGAGGUGACGGCUCACCAAGGCGACGACGGGUAGCCGGCCUGAGAGGGUGACCGGCCACACUGGGACUGAGACACGGCCCAGACUCCUACGGGAGGCAGCAGUGGGGAAUAUUGCACAAUGGGCGCAAGCCUGAUGCAGCAACGCCGCGUGAGGGAUGACGGCCUUCGGGUUGUAAACCUCUUUUAGUAGGGAAGAAGCGAAAGUGACGGUACCUGCAGAAAAAGCACCGGCUAACUACGUGCCAGCCGCCGCAGUAA